AUUGAACGCUGGCGGCAUGCCUUACACAUGCAAGUCUAACGGCAGCACGGGUGCUUGCACCUGGUGGCGAGUGGCGAACGGGUGAGUAAUAUAUCGGAACGUACCUUAUUGUGGGGGAUAACGCAGCGAAAGCUGUGCUAAUACCGCAUAAUCCCUUAGGGGGAAAGCGGGGGACCGUAAGGCCUCGCGCAAUUAGAGCGGCCGAUACCUGAUUAGCUAGUUGGUGAGGGAAAGGCUCACCAAGGCGACGAUCAGUAGCUGGUCUGAGAGGACGAUCAGACACACUGGGACUUCGAAACGGGCUGGACUCCAACGGGAGGGAGCAGGGGGAAAUUUUGGACAAUGGGGGUAACCCUGAUCCAGCAAGGCCGCGAAAGUGAAGAAGGCCUUCGGGUUGUAAAGCGCUUUUGUCAGGGAAAAAACCGCAGCUCUAACACAGUAUGGGAAUGACGGUACCUGAAGAAUAAGCACCGGCUAACUACGUGCCAGCCGCCGCGGUAA
rnacentral:rRNA from 1 species